AACCAGGCAGCAGUCUGGGUUUGGCCCACAUGGUUUAAGCCAUGAAAACAUUCAUUGUUUACUUAACAGAAAUCCCUGGCAAGAUCCCAGGACUGGCUGGGUAACUGUGACUCAGGCACCUCUGCAGUUUCCCGUCCUUCCUCCCCAGGCUCCAAGGUGGAAUGGACAGGAGGCUGAGAGGGACCCCAAUGUCCUCCUCGCUGCCCGGCACCCUGGCCUUGCACUCCAUGUGCCAUCCUCAGUGGCAAGAUGAAAAACCGAGGCUGAGAGAUGAAGAGGAGCCUCUACGGCCACAAGGCCCCUGCUCCACAUAAAUCUGACCCAUUUAUCCCUGGAAGAUACAGCAGCAGCCACCAAUCUGCGGCUGAAUGAACCAUGGUCCAAAGACAGGUCGGUAUGGUACAGUCAGAUAUGUCGAGAGAAAGGGAAAUCACAUUCACGUAACUUUGUUACAAUAUAUUGUCAUAAAUUGUUCUAUUUUAUGAUUAUUGUUAAUCUCUUACUGAGCCCAAUUUAUAAACUAAACUUCGUAUUAGGUAUGUAUGUGCAAAGGAAACAGCAACGUAGAGGCCUAUAGGCGCUAUUGUUAGGAUAUUUGUCCUGCAAACCGCAUGCUGAAAUUUGAUCCCCAGUGUUGGAGGUGGAGCCUAAUGGGAGGUGCUUGGGUCGUGGGGGCGGAUCCCUCAGGAAUAGAUUAAUGCCCUCCCCUGAGAGAGUGGGGAGUUCUUGCUCUGUCAGUUCCCUUGAGAGCUGGCUGUUUAAAAGAGCCUGGCACCUCUCCUCUCUCCCUCACCUCCUCUCUCGAGCGUGACUUCUGCACUCACCAGCUCCCUUCACCUUCUGCUGAGAGUGCAAGCAGCCCAUGGUCCUUACCACAUGCUGAUGCCCCAUCUGGACAUUUUCCAGCCAUCAGAAUCAUGAGCCAAAGAAGCCACUUUUCUUAAAUUGCCAGGCUUCUGUAUUCCUUUAGAGCAACACGAACAGACUCAGACAAUAAGGUUCGGUACUAUCUGAGGUUCCAGGCAUCCACUGGGGAGUCUUGGAACAUAUCCCCUGGGAAAGGGAGCUCUACUGUAUCAAGCCUUCCUUUGUCACCUUCCCAAAUAACUCUUUCCACGGGCACUUUCUCAAUUUUUGCCUAAUUUCCACAUAUACGAAUUGAGGCCCAGGCUGUGCGAGGCACUGAGAGGUUACCAUGAUGGAUUGACAGAGUUUCUCUCCUGGAAGAGGAGCUGGGGAAUUCUGCCUGGGAAGUGUCUGGGGACAGGGAGGGGACAGACAGCUAUUAAAGCUCAGGAGAAGCCAGAAAGGAGAUCGUGUCUGAGUUGGGGGCUGGAGGGAAGUGUAAUGAGAAUUCAGACCUGAGCAGAAAUGGAGGCAUCAUUGGAGAGGAGACGGAGCAAAUCCUGCAGUCAAAGCAGAGGCCGGGCUGGGAGGAAUCCAGAGGUGCUCAUGGGAAGGCAGCAUCGGUGCUGGGAGGAGUCGGAGCUGUUCUCCAGCCUCUGCUCCCCAACACGGUCCUGCCUCCCCAGUGCGUUCCUGCCUUGGUGCUGAGUGGCCUGCAGGCUCCUUGACAUUUGUCUUUCCACCAGGCACCUAGCAUCAUUCCUGGACUUCCAUCUAGUGAAUAAACGGGAACCAUCUUUCCUGUUACAAGCAUCCAUCAAAGGAUCUGAGCAGAGGAACGAUGUGGUCGGAUGGGAGCUUUAGGGAAGUAUCUUCACCAUCCGAUGAGAGAGAGAGGCUAGAAGGGACAAGGAAGGCAGAAGGUUGUAAAAAGGUGAGGGAACGGGCUUGGAGAGGAUCUAUGUGCAGCCCUCCGAAGAAGUGCUGGGCCUUUCUGACUUGGAAUCCCUGGUCCUUAUCAGGCCCACGUGUGGUGGGUAAAGAGGUCUCCUGCCAAGGUACCUUUCUUUGUUCCCAACUUCCCCUGCCUGGGCUUAAGUAGGGAAAUCCUUGGGUCCAUGAAAAGCAGCUGUAGUAAAGGUAGAGCUUCUCGUACACAUGACCCACCCAGCCUCCAGCCCCUCAGGAAAUGCCAUGUGUAAGGACACACAGGUGGACCAAGGCAGCCAGACUGGGUUCUUGCCCCUUUGUGUGGAGCUCUUUCAGGCACUGCCCUCUCCUGGGCAUCCCCUUUGCUGGCAGACCAGAAGCAGCUUCCGCAGGUGGCACUCUGCAAAAGGCUCGCUUUCCAUUCCUCAGCCCUCCUGUCAUCUGGCUGCUGCUGCUGCCUUCCUACCUUCUCACUUGCCCCUUCCUUAAUGCCCAUCUGUUUGUCUCUGUUUUUCUGCUCCACUGCUUAUACCCCAGACCCCAGCAUUGCUGGUUCAUUCCCUGGUGGUUCGAGUCCAAAGAGAUUGCCCACUCCCUAGGGAGUGGCUAGGGAGGCUCCUCUUUGCUUAUCCAGACCUGCAGAUGAGUGAAAAGCCACAGAGAAGAUUGCGUGGUUUGCAAACUAAGAAAAGAAGAGGUUGACCCCUAUUAAAUACACUGACUCUUAAAAACUACUCUAAUUUGGAAGCAAAAAAGGAACUAUCGAAGGAUCCUUAUUCCUCCCUGAGAAAUAUUGCUGUCUCCCACUGUUGCUCUGAAAGAACUAACUCAUUGGUAAAGGGCUUCCAAGCAAAUGUUAUGCAGGACCUGUCAGGAGCUUGGACUUCACCUGUUAAAGAGUGGACCACCAUUAGGAAGCAUGGCUUGCAAGCCGGGGAGGCAGGUGAUGGCUCUGGAACCCCUGGAACCCCAUGGUGACAUUCAUGGGAGCAGUACCUCCCCACAUGGGGAUGGGUUCUCCUGAGCAGGUGGACACUCCACGGCAGGGGCUUGCAGUCUGGUUUCCUAACCAUGUUCUCAAUGGGACAGAGUCCAAGUUUCAGAGUGCAGAAUCCUGACUCUGCCAGUUAGGACAGCCUGGAAAGCCCUGAGAGAAGCCUCAGGAAAAGUUGAUCUUCGUGGAAUAAAAUUAUUUUCCUGCACAUGGCCUCUGAGUAUCCAAGGGCCCCAACGCUCCUGGCAGCUUUCCGAGUGGGAGUGACUAUUCUUUAGAAAGAAUUGAUGCCAUGUAGUAACUGGCUCCCCAGCCUGAACACAAGAGCGGGAGGGAAGAGCUGAACAAUUACUCCAUUGAAAUCAUCUUCACGUGCACUGCAGUGUGGGAAGGUGGUUUGAUAAAGCCUGGCUAAUGGUAAAUCUCUGAAAGGAUUAAAGGGUUGAUUCAUUAAUAAUUACCUGCAGUACUAUUUGCGAUUCUGUUGCCCAAGACAACAUUCUUUGGGCAGCUUUCUUUUCACAGUCAUUAAGAAAUUAUUAAUAAUUGUGAUUUCGUGAGAAAUUAUUAAUGACUUCUUAAUGGAAGCGGAGAGAAAGCUGACCUAACAAAACUGUUGUCUUGAGCAGCAGAAUUGAAAAUAGCCUUGUAGUUAAUUAUUCUUAAAGUCAGUUAUAGAGAUACUCAUUUUUUCUUUAAGUAAAAUACAUAUUGUAGAAUAGACACCCAAGUAAUACGAUCUUGAAUUAUACAGCCAGGAUUUUUAAACACUUUAUUGUUGCUCCCAUAAAUUCCCCAACUACCAAAAUUUAUGCUGGGAAAAUUAAUCCUUCCUAUCUUGCUUUCUUGGGUCUCUAGAAUUCUCUUCCUUUCUGCCCUCAAAAGGAUGUGAUCUGCCACAUUUCCAAACACCCACUUCCCCUCUUGCAAUCUCUGUCUUGGUGGUUAUGUCCUUUCUGGAAUAUAAUUGUGGAUGAACUUGCUUUGCCAUCUCACUAAAUUAUUAUUCCCUGAGGGGCACUAGGGCUAGGACAUCUAUACUUUGUAUUAAACACUGUGUGGUUUAUCCACAACACACACUUGGUAAAUGUUUCUGAAAUGACUACUAAAGCCCCAAAUCAAAAUGUGGUCACUCCCAUGGUGUGCAAUGGAAAACUGGCCCUCAAAGAAGCCACACUGAGCAUCCAAGACCUGGGUACUACAGCCCCCAGUUGAAAUCUUAAUUUUAGUUCUCAUCCAAACUAUAAAGCUAGGAAGCUUUGGCUCCUUCCCUAAAGAAGCCACAUUUCCCGCUCAUUGCCAUGCGCCCUAAUUGGAAGGAGAACUCGCAUUUUUUUCCUGAAUCCAAAGUCCUAGUCUGGAAGUGGUGCUGUUCUCUACACCUUCGUCCAUGUCCUAUCCUCUCAGCCAGUUUCUCCUCCCUAAACCAAUGGACAUCUUGAGAGCUCAAGUUUUCAUGUUCCUGUGGGAAGUUUUUAGACAGACAAAAUUAGGAGAUGUGGGAUAUGGAGGACAGAAAAAGUUAGACGGAGGGUCAGUACGACUAUAAGAUCAAAUAAAGAAAGAUGCAGUUGGUGUUUUUAUUUUAAUUUUUUUCACCCUGGGAAUUGUUUGGUGUUUUUGUUUUUUGAGACAGGGUCUCUGUCAUCUGGGCUGGAGUGCAGUGGUGCCACCAUAGCUCACUGCAACCUCUGCUUCCCAGGCUCAAGCAAUCCUCUUACCUCAGACUCCAGAAGAUCUGGGACUACAAGACUCUUGCCACCACGCCUGGCUAAUUUUUGUAAUUUUUGUAGAGAAGAGGUUUCACCAUGUUACCUAGG